rnacentral:sRNA from 1 species
ACCGGGCGUGGUGGCGCAUGCCGGUAAUCCCAGCAGUUCAGGAGGCUGAGGCAGGAGGAUCGUGAGUUCAAAGCCAGCCUCAGCAACUUAGUGAGGCCCUAAGCAACUCAGGGAGACCCUGCCUCUA